GACAAACGCUGGCGGUGUGCCUAAUACAUGCAAGUCGAACGAUAAGGUCCCUUCGGGGAUACAUAAGUGGCGGACGGGUGAGUAACACGUAGAAAAUCUGCCCUAAGGUUGGGGAUAACACUGGGAAACUGGUGCUAAUACCCUAUAUGUGCCAAGCUGAAAUGCUUGUCAUAAAAGUUUUUCGCCUUAGGAAGAGUCUGCGUCUGAUUAGCUUGUUGGUGGGGUAACGGCCUACCAAGGCGACGAUCAGUAGCUGGUUUGAGAAGAUGAUCAGCCACAAUGGGACUGAGACACGGCCCAUACUCCUACGGGAGGCAGCAGUAGGGAAUUUUGCGCAAUGGACGAAAGUCUGACGCAGCAACACCGCGUGAGUGAUGACGCCCUUUGGGGUGUAAAGCUCUGUCAAUGGGGAAGAAGUUCUGACGGUACCCAUAAAGGAAGCAUCGGCUAACUACGUGCCAGCAGCCGCGGUAAGACGUAGGAUGCAAGCGUUGUCCGGAAUUAUUGGGCGUAAAGAGUUCGUAGGUGGUAUAUCAAGUCUGGUGUUAAAUACCGAAGCUCAACUUCGGAAAGGCACUGGAUACUGGUAAACUAGAGUAUAGUAGAGGCAAAGGGAAUUCCUAGUGUAGCGGUGAAAUGCGUAGAUAUUAGGAGGAACACCAGUGGCGAAAGCGCUUUGCUGGACUAUUACUGACACUGAGGAACGAAAGCCAGGGUAGCGAAUGGGAUUAGAUACCCCAGUAGUCCUGGCCGUAAACGAUGGAUACUAGGUGUUGCGGGUAUCGACCCCUACAGUGCCGCAGUUAACGCGAUAAGUAUCCCGCCUGGGGAGUACGCACGCAAGUGUG
rnacentral:rRNA from 1 species